UACGUAGGAAGCAAGCGUUGUUCGGAGUUACUGGGCGUAAAGGGUGCGUAGGCGGCUUUUUAAGUUUGGUGUGAAAUCUCCCGGCUCAACUGGGAGGGUGCGCCGAAUACUGAGAGGCUAGAGUGUGGGAGAGGAAAGUGGAAUUCCUGGUGUAGCGGUGAAAUGCGUAGAUAUCAGGAGGAACACCGGUGGUGUAAACGGCUUUCUGGACCAUAACUGACGCUGAGGCACGAAAGCGUGGUUAGCAAACAGG
rnacentral:rRNA from 1 species